rnacentral:rRNA from 1 species
CAAUAGCGUAUAUUAAAGUUGUUGCAGUUAAAAAGCUCGUAGUUGGAUUUGUGGCGUACGGUGUGUUCCGGGCACUUGUUGUCUGAGUAACCUGCUGUUGCCAUCCUUGGGUGGAACCUGUGUGGCAUUAGGUUGUCGUGCAGGGGAUGCCCAUCAUUUACUGUGAAAAAAUUAGAGUGUUCAAAGCAGGCUUAUGCCAUUGAAUAUAUUAGCAUGGAAUAAUGAGAUAGGACUUUUUUGCUAUUUUGUUGGUUUGCGCAAAGAGGUAAUGAUUAAUAGGGACAGUUGGGGGUAUUCGUAUUCCAUUGUCAGAGGUGAAAUUCUUGGAUUUUUGGAAGACGAACUACUGCGAAAGCAUUUACCAAGGAUGUUUUCAUUAA